AUCACUUCUCAGCCUUUUGGCUAAGAUCAAGUGUAGUAUCUGUUUUUUCAGUUUAAUAUCUGAUAUGUCCUAAAUUAAAAAUAAUAAAAAAUAAAUAAAGGGGAGAUAAGAGAAACCAGAGACUCCAUGGCCAUGUGAAAUAAAGCAUAGUACCUAUGCCAGAAAAGAGUGUGGUGCAGGCUGGGCAUGGUGGCUCAUGCCUGUAAUCCCAG
rnacentral:lncRNA from 10 species